UAUCUUGACAUUUGCCAGGUAUUGUUAUACGCUGUGGACGCGUUUAUUUUGUACGCUAUGGCAAUGAAAUUACCUUGUAGUUUGGAGUGUAUUGGACCCGAGGGCAGUACUCGGCGCUUCCAUUUAAGUUUUUUAAAUGGUUUUAUAAUAUGGGGGCGAAUAAGGAUCGACAUGCACGGCAAAGUAAGGUGUCUUGCUCGGUUAGAUACCACCGUUAAGAGUUCACAAUUUAAAUGCAAACAAUAAUUUUGCUGCUGAUAGCAAUCUAGCAUUAGCUGCUUAGUUAUAUAGCACUAUUGCUUAAUUGUUUUAAAGCACGGUUCUGGGGUGCCGGGUAACAGAAGUCCCCACA
rnacentral:tmRNA from 1 species